rnacentral:rRNA from 1 species
GACGAACGCUGGCGGCGUGCUUAACACAUGCAAGUCGAACGGAAAGGCCCUGCUUUUGUGGGGUGCUCGAGUGGCGAACGGGUGAGUAACACGUGAGUAACCUGCCCUUGACUUUGGGAUAACUUCAGGAAACUGGGGCUAAUACCGGAUAGGAGCUCCUGCUGCAUGGUGGGGGUUGGAAAGUUUCGGCGGUUGGGGAUGGACUCGCAGCUUAUCAGCUUGUUGGUGGGGUAGUGGCUUACCAAGGCUUUGACGGGUAGCCGGCCUGAGAGGGUGACCGGCCACAUUGGGACUGAGAUACGGCGCAGACUCCUACGGGAGGCAGCAGUGGGGAAUAUUGCACAAUGGGCGGAAGCCUGAUGCAGCAACGCCGCGUGCGGGAUGACGGCCUUCGGGUUGUAAACCGCUUUCGCCUGUGACGAAGCGGGAGUGACGGUAAUGGGUAAAGAAGCACCGGCUAACUACGUG